rnacentral:tRNA from 1 species
CAAAGUGUAGCUUAAUAAUAAAGCAUCUGGCCUACACCCAGAAGAAUUCACAACUAUGAACACUUUGA